rnacentral:rRNA from 1 species
UACGUAGGGACCAGGCGUUGUUCGGAUUUACUGGGCGUAAAGGGCGCGUAGGCGGCGUGACAAGUCACUUGUGAAAUCUCUGGGCUUAACCCAGAACGGCCAAGUGAAACUGUUGUGCUAGAGUGCAGAAGGGGCAACUGGAAUUCUCGGUGUAGCGGUGAAAUGCGUAGAUAUCGAGAGGAACACCUGCGGCGAAGGCGGGUUGCUGGGCUGACACUGACGCUGAUGCGCGAAGGCCAGGGAGCGAAGCGGG